AAAUCAUGUUGAAUAUACCAAUUGUCUUCAUAGUGAUAUGCACAAUGAUUCAAUAUAGCGAGCAAACGAUUUCUGAAAAAGUGUACUGGCCUGAUAAUACCUUUUGCAAAUUCAACGAAGAAUAUAUUUAUCCAAAAUUCGCAAAUCUUUGCAAAGACCAUGUUAAUAUACGUAAGCAUGCUUUCCUUUCAGUAUAAUCCAACCAUGAGUAAUUUAUUUUAUUUUUUGUUUUAGCACAAGACCGUCGAAGUAGCCGUCUUAGGGAAUAUUAUUCGUAUUUGAACAGACUCUGCUGUAGAAGGCUG